UUUACGUCCCUGCCCUUUGUACACACCGCCCGUCGCUACUACCGAUUGAAUGGCUCAGUGAGGCCUUCGGACUAGCCUCGAGAGGUCGGCAACGACCACUCCUGGCCGGAAAGUUGGUCAAACUCGGUCAUUUAGAGGAAGUAAAAGUCGUAACAAGGUCUCCGUAGGUGAACCUGCGGAGGGAUCAUU
rnacentral:rRNA from 1 species